rnacentral:rRNA from 1 species
CCUCGCGCGAUUGGAGCGGCCGAUGUCGGAUUAGCUAGUUGGUAGGGUAAAGGCCUACCAAGGCGACGAUCCGUAGCGGGUCUGAGAGGAUGAUCCGCCACACUGGGACUGAGACACGGCCCAGACUCCUACGGGAGGCAGCAGUGGGGAAUUUUGGACAAUGGGCGCAAGCCUGAUCCAGCCAUGCCGCGUGAGUGAAGAAGGCCUUCGGGUUGUAAAGCUCUUUCAGGUGGAAAGAAAACGCAUGGGUCAAUACCCUGUGUGGAUGACGGUACCAUCAGAAGAAGCACCGGCUAACUACGUGCCAGCAGCCGCGGUAAUACGUAGGGUGCGAGCGUUAAUCGGAAUUACUGGGCGUAAAGCGUGCGCAGGCGGUGAUGUAAGACAGAUGUGAAAUCCCCGGGCUCAACCUGGGAACUGCGUUUGUGACUGCAUCACUCGAGUACGGCAGAGGGAGGUGGAAUUCCGCGUGUAGCAGUGAAAUGCGUAGAUAUGCGGAGGAACACCGAUGGCGAAGGCAGCCUCCUGGGC